GAAUAGCUCAGUCAGUAGAGCAUGAGACUCCUGAUCUCAGGGUUGUGCGUAUGAGCCUCACAUUGGACA